GGCGAGUGAAGCGGCAACAGCUCAAAUUUGAAAUCUGGCCCCCGGGUCCGAGUUGUAAUUUGCAGAGGAUGCUUUUGGUGCGGUACCUUCCGAGUUCUCUGGAACGAGACGCCAUAGAGGGUGAGAGCCCCGUCUGGUUGGACGCCAAACCUUUGUAAAGCUCCUUCGACGAGUCGAGUAGUUUGGGAAUGCUGCUCUAAAUGGGAGGUAUAUGUCUUCUAAAGCUAAAUAUUGGCCAGAGACCGAUAGCGCACAAGUAGAGUGAUCGAAAGAUGAAAAGCACUUUGAAAAGAGAGUUAAAAAGUACGUGAAAUUGUUGAAAGGGAAGCGCUCAUGACCAGACUUGGGCCCGGUUGAUCAUCCAGGGUUCUCCCUGGUGCACUCUUCCGGCCCAGGCCAGCAUCAGUUCGCUGUGGGGGAUAAAGGCUUCGGGAAUGUGGCUCCCUCGGGAGUGUUAUAGCCCGUCGUGCAAUACCCUGCGGCGGACUGAGGUUCGCGCAUUCGCAAGGAUGCUGGCGUAAUGGUCAUCAGCGACCCGUCUUGAAACACGGACCAAGGAGUCGUCUUCGUAUGCGAGUGUUCGGGUGUCAAACCCCUACGCGUAAUGAAAGUGAACGCAGGUGAGAGCUUCGGCGCAUCAUCGACCGAUCCUGAUGUUCUCGGAUGGAUUUGAGUAAGAGCAUACGGGGCCGGACCCGAAAGAAGGUGAACUAUGCCUGUAUAGGGUGAAGCCAGAGGAAACUCUGGUGGAGGCUCGCAGCGGUUCUGACGUGCAAAUCGAUCGUCAAAUAUGGGCA
rnacentral:rRNA from 1 species